UACAUUUGUUACUGUGAAGAAAGUGUACUGAUGUUUCCAGAAUGUAUUAUGCAAUGAUUUUUGGAUUGUGAAGUAUUCUCGUGGAUUCACAAAGUUUUCUUACCCGGUGUCAUAAAUAUUAUCGAAAACCGUCUUCCAUCUUUCAUUUCCGUCUAUUGUGAUGUUUGUGUAUUGCUGAGCAUUUAAUGUUAUGCUAUCAAUUCUUCGAAUUACAAUUUCAUUACAAGUUUUCAACAAUUGGUUGUGUUUGGACAAGGAUUUGGGAGAUGCGUUUUCGAUUUGUUAGUUUUCUCUAUGUGACACCUUGUGCUACCGGGUCACGUUGAAAGGGAGG